CUGGCUCAGGACGAACGCUGGCGGCGUGCCUAACACAUGCAAGUCGAACGAAGUAUAUUUUCGGAUAUGCUUAGUGGCGGACGGGUGAGUAACGCGUGAACAAUCUGCCCUGUACACAGGAAUAGCCUCGGGAAACUGGGAUUAAAACCGGAUAACACUUUCUGGCCGCAUGGCCGGGAAGUCAAAUUGAUUUAGAGGUACAGGAUGAGUUCGCGUCUGAUUAGCUAGUUGGUGAGGUAACGGCUCACCAAGGCGACGAUCAGUAGCCGGCCUGAGAGGGUGAACGGCCACACUGGAACUGAGACACGGUCCAGACUCCU
rnacentral:rRNA from 1 species